UUUUAAUUUAAAACGUUUUAAUUAACGUAAAAAUUAAAAAGUGGUGUACAGGUGAGUAUAAUGAUAUUAUUUGCCGACCUUAAAGUGUAGGUAAAUCCUUCAUAAUAAAUAAAGGGAAAGCAAAUCCCGCUUUAAGAGGAUAAUAUAUAUCUUCGAGAUAGGUAGUAGUUAAGGUGAUAGCUUAACUAGCCUAAAACUCUCGUAGUCGAAUCUGAAAGGUUGAUCGACCACAUUGGGUCUGAAAAAACCCCAAUGCAAGUUAGUACAGCAGUGAGGAAUAUUGGUCAAUGGCCUAACGGCUGAACUGGCAACUUGGAGAAGUGAUAAGUCUUAUUUUGAUUAUAUCAAAGAAUAUAAUUUAUAAGAUUGUAUUAAAAUUGAAUAAAGCUUUGUUUAUAUAUUGAUAAUGACAGUAUAUAUAUCGUGUCUUGACUAAUUACGUGCCAGCAGUCGCGGUAAUACGUAAGAGACUAGUGUUAUUCAUCUUAAUUAGGUUUAAAGGGUACCUAGACGGUCAAUAUAGCUUCUAUAAUGUUAAUACUUGACUAGAGUUUUAUGCAAGAGGGUAGUACUUGAGGAGGAGAGAUGAAAUUCUAUGAUACCCUAGGGACUCGGUAAAGGCGAAGGCAAUCCUUUAUGUAAAAACUGACGUUGAAGGACGAAGGCACAGAGAACAAACAGGAUUAGAUACCCAAGUAGUCUUUGCAGUAAAUAAUGAAUGCCAUAGGUCAGAUUAAGAUUUAAUAACUUAGUUUAUCAGUAAUAAGCUAAAUAUUAAACAUUAUUUGAUCUAUAAAUGAAAGUGUAAGCAUUUCACCUCAAGAGUAAUGUGGCAACGCAGGAACUGAAAUCACUAGACCGUUUCUAACACCAGUAGUGAAGUAUGUUGUUUAAUUCGAUGAUCCACGAAAAACCUUACCACAAUUUGUAUAAUUAUUACAGGAGUUGCACGGCUGUUUUCAGUUAAUGUUGUGAAACUGUGGUUUCCAUGAAAUUAACGUAAUCCCUGGCUUUAUUUUUUAAUUGUUUACUAUAAAGCAUUUGAUCCUAUAAUUUGGAAAGAAAAAGGGGACAAAGACAAGUCAUCAUGGCCUGCUGGAUGAUGUAGGAAGUCAUCUGCGUGGGUAAAACUAUCAAACUCCGGGGACAUCCUAAAGAUUUUGAUACUAAGCUAUGGUUGAAAAAUCAUAAGUGGCUGAACUAAUUACUCAGGUAUAGUAACAAGUCAAAAUAUGAACUAAAGUGAAAUGGAUUAUCGCGGAUCUAAGUCAGUAAUAUUUAAAAAUAUUGCUGUAAAAGAGCAACGAGUAGACGGUAGUUGAUACAUUAAAGAUAAUUUGAUGUGUUUAAGGUGUACUCUAAUGGGUUUCGAAAGAAAUUAUCAAGUCAAAAUCCUUUCUAAACAAAUGAGUAAUAUAAGAAAAUAUACUUCUAUUAUAACCCACAAGCCAUUAAAUAUUACUCAACUUCAAUCUAGUUUAAAUCCUUGAUUUUUUACAGGAUUUGCUGAUGCAGAAGGUUCUUUUUCUAUUUUAAAUCAAACUAAUAGUAAAUAUACUACAGGUUGAAGAAUUAAACCUAUAUUUACUAUAGGAUUACAUAAAAAAGAUUUAGAUUUAUUGUUAAACAUUAAAGCUUAUUUAGGAAUAGGGAAAAUACAUAUUCAUGGUAUAGACUCUAUACAAUUUCGUGUAGAUUCAUUAAAAGAACUACAAGUUCUUAUAAAUCACUUUGAUAAUUUUCCACUAGUAACAGCUAAACUUGCUGAUUAUAUUUUAUUUAAGAAAGCUUUUGCUAUAAUUCUACUAAAAGAACAUUUAUCUUCUUAUCAAAAAUAGUAGGAAUAAAAGCUUCACUUAAUCUAGGACUUAAUCAGAGUAUAAAAGAAGCAUUUCCUAAUUGAGAAGAAUUAAUAGACCGUAUUACACUUUUAAAUGUAUUCCUGAUCCAAAUUGAAUGGCUGGAUUUGCCAGUGGAGAUAGUAGCUUUAAUAUAAAAAUAAGUAAAUCUCCAACUAGGUCAAAGAGUUCAAUUAAGAUUUGCUAUUGAAUUAAAUAGUAGAGAAAAGAGUUUGAUACAGCAUUUACCAGCUUAUUUUAAAUUAACUUAUAUUUUAAAAUAUGUUUAUAUUGGUAAUAAGGUUGCAAGAUUUCAAAUAGUAAACUCUUCCGACAUUUUUAAUAAAAUUAUUCCUUUUUUUGAAAAGUAUUUAAUACAAGGUAAAAAGAGUUUAGAUUUUUUAAGUUUUAAAGAAGUAGCUUUGAUUGUUCAAAAAAAAGAUCAUUUAAAAUCAGAAGGUUUUAAGAAAAUCUUAGAUAUAAAAGCUAAAAUGAAUGAGUAAUAAUUAAAAUAGAAGUAUAUUUAAUUUAUUUACUAAUUUGCAUGAUAAAUUUGAUCGCUAUGUGAUAUUGUGGGCUAUAGACGUGCCACAUAUUCCUAAACAAAGAGAUGCAAAAAUGUAAAUUUAAGCUAAUCUCAAAAAAUAGGAUAUAAGUUUUAAGGAUUGUAGUCUGAAACUCGACUAUAUGAAUAAGUAAUUACUAGUAAUCGUGAAUCAUCAUGUCACGGUGAAUUAACCUUGGAUUGGUACUAACCACUCGUCACAUGCUGAAAAGAACAUGCGCAAUAAGUUUGCUUUUAUAAUUAUUAGUAAAAAGAACAUGCAGGUUUUGUAUAUUCUAUUAUUAUAAAUCUUCGUAUGCGUGGUUCUAAUUAGUGUU
rnacentral:rRNA from 1 species